UGACCUCAGAUCAGGUAGAAAUACCUGCUGAACUUAAGCAUAUUAAUAAGCAGAGAAAAAGAAAUCAACAGAGAUUAUCUCAGUAACAGUGAGUGAAGUAAUAAAAGCUCAAAUUUGAAAUCUGGCUUUUUUGAGACCUGAGUUGUAAUUUGUGAGAAAUGCUUCAGACAUGGCCACAGUCUAAGUUCUCUGAAACAGAGCAUCACAGAGGGUGAGAAUUCUGUCUUAAGCUGACUGGCUUCGCCCAUGUGAAGCUUCUUCAAUGAGUUGAGUUGUUUGGAAAUGCAGCUCUAAAUAAGUGAUAAAUUUCAUUUAAAGCUAAAUAUUGAUCAGAGACUGAUAGCACACAAGUAGAGUAAUUGAAAGAUAAAAAACACUUUAAAAAGAGAGUUAAACAGCAUGUGAAAUUGUUAAAAGAAAAGCACUUAUAAUCAGAGUCAGCUGUGAGAAUUCAGUAGACAUUUAUUAUCUAUGCACUUCUUCACAGGUGAACCAGUGUCAGUUUCAACAGCCAGUCAAAGACUUCUGAAAUGUGUCAUCUCUCAGAACAUCUUAUAGUCGGGGAUGCAAUGCAGUCAGUUAAGACUGAGAAAUGCACUUCAGUACAGACACUGACUUAAUAGUUGUAAGUGAUUCAUCUUGAAACACAGAUUAAGAAGUCUAAUAUUUAUACAAGUGUUCAGAUGUCAAACCUGUUCAUACAGUGAAAGUGAACAGAGAUGAGUACUCUUAAGAGUAUAUCAUUGACUGAUUCUGAAGUCUUUAGAUAGAUUUGAGUAAGAGUAUGACUGUUGAAAUCUGAAAGAUGAUAAACUAUGUCUGAAUAGAGUGAAGUCAGAGAAAACUCUGAUGAAGACUCACAGUGAUUCUGACAUGCAAAUCAAUCAUUGAAUUUAAGUAUAGAGAUGAAAGACUAAUUGAAUCAUCUAGUAGCUGAUUUCUGCUGAAGUUUCUCUCAGAAUAGUAGUAAUAUUUUCAGUUUUAUAAGAUAAAGUGAAUGAUUAGAGGCCUUGAGAUUGAAACAACCUUAAUCUAUUCUCAAACUUUAAAUAUGUAAGAAGCUCUUGUUACUUUAUUGAAUGUAAGCACUGAAAUGAAUUGUUACUAGUGAAUCAUUUUUAAUAAGCAGAACUGAUAAUGCAGGAUGAACUGAAUAUGAGAUUAAGAUAUCAGAAUACACACUCAUCAGAUCUUAUAAAAGAUGUUAGUUCAUUUAGACAGCCUGAUGAUGACUAUGAAAGUCAGAAUCUGCUAAGAAGUGUGUAACAACUCAUGAGCUGAAUGAACUAGCUCUGAAAAUGAAUGACACUCAAGUGUGCUAUUCAUACCUCACUGAUGAGGUAGAAUUGAAGCCCUGAUAAGUAGGCAGGUGUGAAGAUUCAUGACAAAGUCUAGAGAGUAAUUCUGAGUUAAAUAAUCUCUAGUACAGAUCUUGAUAAUAGUAGUAAAUACUUAAAUGAGAACUUUGAGAACUGAAGUGAGAAAAGAUUUCAUGUGAAUAGCAGUUGAAUAUGAAUUAGUUAAUUCUAAGAUAUAGAGAAACUCUGUUUGAAAGCAUGCUCUCAUGCACUGUCUAUUAAAAGAGAAGCUGAUUAAUAUUUCAGCAUCUGAAUGUGAAUUAUUCAUGACAAUGUAACUGAACACAGAGAUGUCAGUGAGAAUUCUGAGAACAGUUAUCUUUUCUUCUUAACAGUCUAUUACUCUGAAAUCAGUUUAUUCAGAGCUAGGGUUCAAUGACUAGCAGAGUCUCACAUCUUUGCAGAAUUCAGUGUGCCUCUGACAAUCCUUGAAAAUUCACAGAAAGAAAUAGUUUUCAUAUCAGAUUAUACUUAUAAUCACAGCAGGUCUUCAAGAUGAAAAGCCUCUAGUUAAUAGAAUAAUGUAGAUAAGAGAAGUUGAUAAAAUAGAUCUGUAACUUUGAAAAAAGAAUUGACUCUAAGAAUUGAGUAUGUUGAGUCUUGAGCAGAGAUCUCUGAAGCAGAGAAGCACUAGUCAGACAACUGAUGAAGACUCUUCAGUAUCAGAGUGUAAACACUCUUGACAGGCUUCAGCUGUUCAGCAUGCAAUUAAAAAUCAACUUAGAACUGAUAUAGACAAGAGAAAUCUAACUGUCUAAUUAAAACAUAGUAUUGUAAUAAUCAGAAAGUGAUAUUGAUAUAAUGUGAUUUCUGCUCAGUACUCUGAAUGUCAAAGUGAAGAAAUUCAAUCAAGUACAGAUAAACAGCAGAAGUAACUAUAACUCUCUUAAAAUAGUUAAAUAUCUCAUCAUCUAAUUAGUGACAUGCAUGAAUAAAUUAACAAGAUUCUCACUAUCUCUAUUUACUAUCUAGUAAAAUCACAGUCAAGAGAAUGAGCUUGGCAGAAUUAGUGAAGAAAGAAGACUCUGUUGAGCUUGACUCUAGUUUGACAUUGUAAAAAGAUAUAAGAAGUGUAGAAUAGAUGAAAGCUUCAGUAUCAGUGAAAUAUCACUAUCUUUAUCAUUUUUUUACUUAUUCAAUGAAGCAGAACUGAGCUUUACUGCUUAACUUCUGAUGUUAAGAUUCUUCACAGGCUGAUUCAGGUUGAAAACAUUGUUAGAUAAGAAGUUUAACUGAGACAGCACAUCUGUUAAAUUAUAAUACAGAUGUUCUAAGAGAGACUUAUAGAGAAUAGAAAUCUUCAGUAGAAUAAAAGAGUAAAAGUCUUCUUAAUUUUGAUUUUCAGUGUGAAUACAAAUCAUGAAAGUGUGAUUUAUUAAUUCUUUAGUCUCUCAAAAUUUGAGGCUAGAGGUCUUAGAAAAGUUAUCACAGAGAUAACUGACUUAUAACAGUUAAGUGUUUAUAGUGAUAUUGCUUUUUGAUUCUUUAAUGUCAGCUCUUUCUAUCAUACUGAAGCAGAAUUCAGUAAGUAUUGAAUUAUUCACUCACUAAUAGAGAACAUGAGCUGAGUUUAGACUGUUGUGAGACAGAUUAGUUUUAUUCUACUGAUGAAGAUCACUGUAACAGUAAUUCAAUCUAGUUCAAGAGAAACUGUUGAUUCAGAUAAUUGAUUUUUGCAGCUGUCUGACCAGACAGUGCCAUGAUACUAUCAUCUGCUGAAUUAUGACUGAACAUCUCUAAGUCAGAAUUCAUGCUGAAACAUGACAAUGCUACCCUGCACAUCAUAGUUGAAUAUGAAUAGGUCUUCAGGCUCAGAAUCUCAGCAGGCCGGUGAUGGUGUCUGAGAAGAGACUCCCGGGCGCUUGCUGAUGAAUUGCAAUGUCAUCACACACAGGGAUAGAUUCUCUGCAGACAACUGAAAUGAUAAAGCAGGUCAUGUAAGUGAUCAAGUAGCCUUGUUGUUACAAGUCACUGAGCAUCAGCUCAAUCCUUGGCUCAAUUUGU
rnacentral:ncRNA from 22 species